rnacentral:rRNA from 1 species
UGCAAGUCGAACGAGCUGCUGAAGUUUUCGAUGAAGCAGCUUAGUGGCGAACGGGUGAGUAACACGUGAGCACCUGCCUUUCAGUGGGGGACAACAUUUGGAAACGAAUGCUAAUACCGCACAAGGUCGCAUGGCCAAAGGAUUUAUCCGCUAAGAUGGGCUCGCGUCCGAUUAGCUAGAUGGUGAGGUAACGGCCCACCAUGGCGACGAUCGGUAGCCGGACUGAGAGGUUGAACGGCCACAUUGGGACUGAGACACGGCCCAGACUCCUACGGGAGGCAGCAGUGGGGAAUAUUGCACAAUGGGGGAAACCCUGAUGCAGCGACGCCGCGUGGAGGAAGAAGGUCUUCGGAUUGUAAACUCCUGUCCCAGGGGACGAUAAUGACGGUACCCUGGGAGGAAGCACCGGCUAACUACGUGCCAGCAGCCGCGGUAAAACGUAGGGUGCAAGCGUUGUCCGGAAUUACUGGGUGUAAAGGGAGCGCAGGCGGAUUGGCAAGUUGGGAGUGAAAUCUAUGGGCUCAACCCAUAAAUUGCUUUCAAAACUGUCAGUCUUGAGUGGUGUAGAGGUAGGCGGAAUUCCCGGUGUAGCGGUGGAAUGCGUAGAUGUCGGGAGGAACACCAGUGGCGAAGGCGGCCUACUGGGCACUAACUGACGCUGAGGCUCGAAAGCAUGGGUAGCAAACAGGAUUAGAUACCCUGGUAGUCCACGCCGUAAACGAUGAUUGCUAGGUGU